rnacentral:tRNA from 1 species
GCCGGAGUGGCGGAAUGGGUAGACGCAGUGGACUUAAAAUCCACUGGAUAAUUAAUGUCCGUGCCGGUUCGAGUCCGGCCUCCGGCACCA